CCAAACACCUUACUGUAGUAAAUGUCACAUUUCUCCCCAAGCUUUUGUACUAUUGUUUAUAUACAUUUUGCUUCUACAUUUAACCCUGUAGUGCAUUGUUAUUGAUUUUACUAAAAUUUCUGUUUUUCUUUGUAUCAUGUUUAUGAUUUUCUCUACUUCCUGGAAUAUUAAUAGCUGUUUUAAUGAUCUUGUCUGCAGUCAUUCUCUUGGGGCAGUUUGUACCAACAAGGUAUAUUUGGCAUUGCCUAGAGAUACUUUGUGGAGAAGGCAAUGGCACCCCACUCCAGUACUCUUGCCUGGAAAAUCGCAUGGACGGAGGAGCCUGGUAGGCUGCAGUCCAUGGGGCCGCUAAGAGUCGGACACGACUGAGCGACUUCACUUUCACUUUUCACUUUCAUGCACUGGAGAAGGAAAUGGCAACCCACUCCAGUGUUCUUGCCUGAAGAAUCCCAGGGACAGGGCAGCCUGGUGGGCUGCUGUCUGGGGUCACACAGAGUCAGACAGGACUGAGGUGACUUAGCAGCAGCAGCAGAGAUACUUUGAGUGUCACAUCUGGGAACAAUGUUGCAUCUAGUGGAUAUAGGCCAGGGAUGCUGCUAAAUAUUCUAUUAUAUAUGCAAGAAAUAAGUACCACACCCAGAAUUUCAGCAGUACCAAGGUUAUGAAAUCUUGGUCUGGGGCUCAUUUGGUGCCACUGUUGAGGCAUUACCAUUCUAAGAACUCUGCCUAAUUCUUUGUCUCUUAGGAAAUUUUUCUGUUGUGUCUGAUGAAAGCAGACUGUACCUGGACCUAUGUUAGGAUGUUUCCACUAAUUCUUGUCUAGUGACUUUUUUCCCCUGGCCCUGUUAGAUUCUUUAUAUACUUUAUGCAGAUCGGUCUAAUAUGAUUGAUUUCAGGGAAUCAUUGUAUAUACCUCCAGAGCGCUUCCUCCUCUCUGUGCAUCUCUUUCCUCUUUUUUUUGCCUCACAAAUUCUAGUCACAUAAACCUACCUAAACUUUGAACUGUCUCCUAAGUAAAGCUAUUGCGCUAUUUUGUUGUCCCUUCCUCUUGCAUUAUAAUUUGGAAACUCUUCAACCAGUGAGCUGUGCACUUAGAGCACUCAUUUGUGUUUUCUCUCAGGUAUUAAUAUCCUGUACUGCUCUUUGUCCAUUGCCUGAAACCUUUGUUUCACAUCUGUUUUGUCCAGUUUUCUAGUUUAAUAUAGAAAAAUAAAUCUAAUUCCUGUUAUUUUGUAAUGGUAGGAAAUAGAAGUUCUUUAUAUCGAUGCUUGGUUUAUCCUUACUUUGCUUAGUGGAAGCCCCUUCAAGUUGUUUCCUGUGUUUUUUUGGCAUGUAAGUCCUUUCUGUAGUAGUGAGGAAGGUGGUUUCUUAGUUUCCACAAUAUAUUUAUUUUCUCAGCCCCAGAGUACACAGAAGUUCAGUUCAAAAUUGCUGGUUGAUACGUCUGCAAAACACAAGUAUAUUUGGCUAAAUAAAUUAGCCAAACUAAUUUAUGUUUGAAGUUCUUUUUUCUUUAGCCUGAGGGCAUAUGGUUUCAAAACUAAGUUUGCAAGUUAUCUGGGAUAUUGUUAGCAAAAAUGGCUGACUAAGGACAUCCAAGAAUUACCUUUCUCCUCUAAAAGCAGUGGAGAAAGCUGUUCAUAGUGUCAGAAUUGACGUUUUCAGAACUGCAGAAUUAACCAAAAGUUUACUAAGGGUUGUUAUUUAUUAAAAAUGGCUGAAACUUGAUAGAGUAUCUUUGUGACAUUUUAACUUGCUCUAUUCUCAUUCCCCACUCCCCAAGUCCAUGGUGUCUUGAAAAUCAGCAGCCCACAAUCAUGAUGAAAACCUGCAGCCUGACAGAUACUGGAGGAGCCAGAAGAAGCUAGAUGUUAAACAUCUUGGGCAGCCUUACAAGACAGAUUUACAAGAUGGUGAAAUUUCUGUUAAUAUCAGCCAGGGUCCCUGCUUGGUUGUAUCCAGCCACCGAUUGAACUUCACAUGAGCAAGAGCUAAGUACCACCUGUGAUAAAGGAGAAAUUUAUAAGCCCUAUCAAAAUUUUAAGGGGACUGGAAUGCAAAAGUAGGAAGUCAAGAAACACCUGGAGUAACAGGCAAAUUUGUUCUUGGAGUAUGGAAUGAAGCAGGGCAAAGUCUAAUAGAGUUUUGCCAAGAGAAUGCACUGGUCAUAGCAAACACCCUCUUCCAACAACACAAGAGAAGACUCUACACAUGGACAUCACCAGAUGGUCAACACCAAAAUCAGAUUGAUUAUAUUCUUUGCAGCCAAAGAUGGAGAAGCUAUAUAAAGUCAGCAAAAAACAAGACCAGGAGCUGACUGUGGCUCAGAUCAUGAACUCCUUAUUGCCAAAUUGACACUGAAAUUGAAGAAAGUAGGGAAAACCACUAGACCAUCAGGUAUGACCUAAAUCAAAUCCCUUAUGAUUAUACAGUGGAAGUGAGAAAUAGAUUUAAGGGACUAGAUCUGAUAGCAUGCCUGAUGAACUAUGGACGGAGGUUCGUGACAUUGUACAGGAGACAGGGAUCAAGACCAUCCCCAUGGAAAACAAAUGCAAAAAAGCCAAAUGGCUGUCUGAGGAUGCCUCACAAAUAGCUGUGAAAAGAAGAGAAGCGAAAAGAAAAGGAGAAAAG
ensembl:lncRNA